rnacentral:snRNA from 1 species
GUGCUCGCUUUGGCAGCAUAUACACUGGAACGAUGCGGAGAAGACUAGCAUGGCCCCUGCUCAAGGAUGACGUGUAAAUUUAUGAAGUGUUCCAUAAAAAA